GGCCUCUACAUUCUUACGCCAGUCGGUCACCUCUUCUUUCUGUAAGAGGAGUACGAGUAACAUUAGGUUGGCUUUGAAAUCCACAGACUCUUUGACCUUGGAGCCCAAUAGAGCACCCAGCAUAGCAUCAGCAGAGAUCUUCACUCUCUUCAGCGCUGGUCUCUUCAUUUUACCUCUGAGUUCGGUAAUCUUGAUGUUCAAAUCAGUGAUCUGACAGAGACAUAUGCAUUUAUAGGAUUAACAAAGUGUAAUGUGAAGCAAGUUGACUCCAUUUAGGAUGCGGUAUACUGUACCUCUUUUUCAUUUUUGGACACCUUGGCUGCGAUGUCGUACCUCUCUUCAUCUACAACAUCAAUCUUCUGAUGAAGGUCUCUGCAGAGAGCCUGAAAAUGAAGUAUUGUAUGAAUAGAUGACCUUGGUAUAUUGUUGGGGUGCUUGUCAAUGCUAUUUCAAGCGAAACGUUACUGAAG
rnacentral:lncRNA from 1 species